rnacentral:lncRNA from 1 species
CUAAGGAGUCCCCAGGCAGCAGGGGCCUUGCAGUGACCCAGCCUGCUUUACAGCCUAAGGGUUGGGGCCACGGUGGGCAGCCAACAGGGAGCUGUGGGCAGAGUGUCUGUGCACCCAGCUGGCAGGAGCAGAGCAGAGUUUGCUCUAGGACAUUUGCUCCAGUGCAGAAGGGAAUGCUGUAGACUCUUACACCCCAAGCAUGGCUCAGCCAAGCCCACCCUUUGCCCCUCCUGAGCACCCCAGGGCUCUCCCAGCCCCACCAGGGCUGCACAGGACAGGCUGACUCUGGACCAGCAUCACUUUCCCAGACCUCUGCACCCUCAGGUGGUCCCUGCUUUGCAGCCACGCUCACGUAUGCCACGUGCUCUGCUCAUUUGUGGCUUCAGGAUUUGGCUUUUCUGCCCAGCCCCUGGGCUCAGGAGCAGGUUGUUGCACGCUGCCCUGGGUCUAAAUCAAACCACUCCAUGCCCCUAGGACUCACAUUUCGACCUAUCCACUUAUUCACAGGCUUCAUGAGGAAGGAGGAGAGGAAGCCACUGAUGUACAUCACCAGUGGGAUGGUGGCAAUGUAUUUCUGUGAGAGACAAGCACAGGGAGAGGAUCAGCUCCGGACCACCGGGCACAGGACCCCUGUCCAGGCAACCUCAAGGUGCAGGCAGAAGUGUGCCCCACACCCACCUUGGGCAGCAGCAGUGAGUUGGUCAGCCUGAUCCUGCCAGAUAAGCAUGAGUUGCAUGCAUUGUCCCGGGGCCACUGCCAGCACAGGGCAGUGCCUCAGCCCUGCAUCACCUGGGGACACAUCCCUCCUCUGGGAGCAUCACCCUCCAGUCCCACAGUGGCUCAUCACUACAGCACAGUGACUGCUGUGUCACCUGCAUCCCCGGCACCACAGCCUUGCUCUGUGGCACCAAAAGGUUUAGGCCAGGAAGAUGCAUGUCACCUGAAAGCUGUCAGUUCCACCUUCUCAUGGUCACUGGUCACCAGCUCAGGGAUAAGGGAGAGGUGGGAGAUCUGCGUGGCCGCCCAGCCGAACUGGAAGAUGACGAUGAAGGGGAGGUAGUAGAUGAAGGCUGCCCACUGUGGAGUGCCCUCCUUGCAGCCCAGGCAGGGGUUGAAGAUGAAGGGGAAGGAGAUGAGGACGCAGGUGGUACCUGGGAAGAGAGAAGGGGAGCAGUGAGCUUCUCUAGGAACACACGGAUGCAGCUGCUCAGCCAGGUCCUGCCCUGGGGCUGGGGAGCAAAGUCAGCUCCUCCUGGAUGCAGAUAACCACCCAAGGACACACGCCACCCCACCGCCUGCCCCAGGGCGAUAAGGCGCCAGGACGGCUCUGCAGGCACAAGGCCACUCCGUGUCCCCUCAUCCCUCCUCCCGCAGGGCUGGAGCCAUGAGAGUGAUGUCCAGGAGUAUCUCCGGCACACAGAACAGGAAUGGAUCUGUCCCCACGCCAGCAUCAGACGCUACAGCUGUGCUGGGAAGGUCCCAGCUGAGUCAGUGACACCAGAGCCAGGUCCCAGGGCAGCAGGCAG